CCCUUAGAUGUUCGGGGCCGCACGCGCGCUACACUGGAGGAAUCAGCACGUCUUUCUCCUUGUCCGAAAGGACUGGGUAACCCGCUGAACCUCCUUCGUGCUAGGGAUUGGGGCUUGUAAUUCUUCCCCAUGAACGAGGAAUUCCCAGUAAGCGCGAGUCAUAAGCUCGCGUUGAUUACGUCCCUGCCCUUUGUACACACCGCCCGUCGCUACUACCGAUUGGAUGGUUUAGUGAGAUCCUCGGAUUGGUCCCGGCGCGGCCUCUGGUCGUGCCGGAGUGCCGAAAAGAAUGUCGAACUUGAUCAUCUAGAGGAAGUAAAAGUCGUAACA
rnacentral:rRNA from 1 species